UCGCAGCACCUCAUGGUUCGUAG
rnacentral:miRNA from 1 species